rnacentral:rRNA from 1 species
UACGUAGGGAGCAAGCGUUGUUCGGAUUUACUGGGCGUAAAGGGCGCGUAGGCGGCGUGUCAAGUCGAUUGUGAAAUCUCCGGGCUUAACUCGGAACGGCCAAUCGAUACUGACGUGCUAGAGUGCAGAAAGGGCAAUCGGAAUUCUUGGUGUAGCGGUGAAAUGCGUAGAUAUCAAGAGGAACACCUGAGACGAAGGCGGGUUGCUAGGCUGACACUGACGCCGAGUGCGCGAAAGCCAGGGGAGCAAACGGG